ACACCCUUUUAAAAGUGGACACAGUGCUUUAAAGAGUGAGCACAGGAAGGUAAAGUAAGUCUCCAUAAAAUUCAGAAAGGAAAUUGUAAAAGCUCCUUCUUGGAUCCUGUCUGGAGUUACAGCC
ensembl:snoRNA